rnacentral:rRNA from 1 species
UACGUAGGGUGCGAGCGUUGUCCGGAAUUACUGGGCGUAAAGAGCUCGUAGGUGGUUUGUCGCGUUGUUCGUGAAAACUCACAGCUCAACUGUGGGCGUGCGGGCGAUACGGGCAGACUGGAGUACUGCAGGGGAGACUGGAAUUCCCGGUGUAGCGGUGAAAUGCGCAGAUAUCGGGAGGAACACCGGUGGCGAAGGCGGUUCUCUGGGCCUUACCUGACGCUGAGGAGCGAAAGCGUGGGGAGCGAACAGG